UGGGGAAUAUUGCACAAUGAGCGCAAGCCUGAUGCAGCCAUGCCGCGUGUGUGAAGAAGGCCUUCGGGUUGUAAAGCACUUUCAGCGGGGAGGAAGGCGAUAAGGUUAAUAACCUCAUCGAUUGACGUUACCCGCAGAAGAAGCACCGGCUAACUCCGUGCCAGCAGCCGCGGUAAUACGGAGGGUGCAAGCGUUAAUCGGAAUUACUGGGCGUAAAGCGCACGCAGGCGGUCUGUCAAGUCGGAUGUGAAAUCCCCGGGCUCAACCUGGGAACUGCAUUCGAAACUGGCAGGCUAGAGUCUUGUAGAGGGGGGUAGAAUUCCAGGUGUAGCGGUGAAAUGCGUAGAGAUCUGGAGGAAUACCGGUGGCGAAGGCGGCCCCCUGGACAAAGACUGACGCUCAGGUGCGAAAGCGUGGGGAGCAAACAGG
rnacentral:rRNA from 1 species